rnacentral:rRNA from 1 species
GAUGAACGCUGGCGGCGUGCCUAAUACAUGCAAGUCGAGCGAAUGAAGAGGAGCUUGCUCCUCUGAUUUAGCGGCGGACGGGUGAGUAACACGUGGGUAAUCUGCCUGUAAGACGGGGAUAACUCCGGGAAACCGGGGCCAAUACCGGAUAAUAAAAAGAAACGCAUGUUUCUUUUUUGAAAGCUGGUUUCGGCUAACAAUUACAGAGGAGCCCGCGGCGCAUUAGCUAGUUGGUGAGGUAACGGCUAACCGAGGCGACGAUGCGUAGCCGACCUGAGAGGGUGAUCGGCCACACUGGGACUGAGACACGGCCCAGACUCCUACGGGAGGCAGCAGUAGGGAAUCUUCGGCAAUGGGCGAAAGCCUGACCGAGCAACGCCGCGUGAGCGAUGAAGGCCUUCGGGUCGUAAAGCUCUGUUGUUAGGGAAGAACACGUACGAGAGUAACUGCUCGUACCUUGACGGUACCUAACCAGAAAGCCACGGCUAACUACGUGCCAGCAGCAGCCGCCG